rnacentral:lncRNA from 1 species
CACGGUCUCCUCUUCCUCUGUCCCCCGCUGCUCCCGCCUCUCUCUGGUCUCUUCCUUUCUAGCGUCCGUCUCCUCACCUGUAAACACCACCUCCGCGCCUCCGUGCCCUCCUACCUUCAUCUUCUCCUCUUUACCCCGCAGCUCAGAGCUCAGACUCUAGGACUCUGACCUCCUAGUGUAACUCCCUAGUGAGUCCGCAGUGUCUCCUCCUGUUUGAGCCCCAGGACGGACAGCCGAGGGGAUAACGUCCCCAGAAAGAACACAGACUCCCGCUUGGGUGAGAUCCCCCGGAAAGAGAUCCCCUCCCAGGUGCUCCCUCGCCGCCUCGCUCCAGCCCCUAAGACAGAAAAACCUCCGGUUCGCAGGAAAGGCGGGCACCCUCCCCCCAGCAGCACGAGGAGUCGGGGGGGCAUCUGGAGAUGAGCCCCUUGCCCUUUCUACUCUUCUUGUUUGAGUAAAUGCUCGAGAGUCUGUGUUCGAGUCUCUGACUCCUAGGCAUCUGAGAAAAUGGAGAUUUUAUAGGAAACUACUUGUGAACGAGAAAGAACCGGCCCGUGUGCGGAGCUGAGGAAGGCCCCGCGUCACCGCACACACGGAGAGCUGGGAGCACGACUGAGGUCCAGCUGCAGGACGACGCCCUGGGACCUGCAUCCCCUCCAGCUCAGAGCCCAGCGUGGGCGGCGAGGACACCAAGUACGGCUCGGAGGGGCGUGGCCGUCCUGGGGUGUCUUCUGUGACGGGGGCGAGGCCGGUCUCUCUGCUCCCCAGUUACGUGG